GGGGGCGUACAGGUUUCGACGGGGGCGCUGAGACGGAAACAGCGUGCGGAUGCGCCUGCCAUCCUUAAAACGGGCAAAUUAUAAAUCAAAUAACAACGAUUAUACUGCACCGGUAGCCGCCUAAGGCUGCCCGUCCGCCCCGCGGAGGCCACGCCGCGGGUGUCGGGCGUGACUUAUGUGGCGUACGUGAGUGCGCAAAGCUUUGAGCGCACCAUGCAUAAUGAAGCUACUCUGACGGAGGGCGUGACGGCUUGCCUUCCGCAAAGGGGAAACGGCCCCAGGCCGCAAUAACCGUCUGCGCACGGAGAGGUUUCCGAGGAUACGCUUUCGGACAGGGGUUCGAUUCCCCUCGCCUCCACCA
rnacentral:tmRNA from 1 species